CCUACGGGGGGCUGCAGUCGAGAGGCUUCGUCAAUGCCCGAAAGGGUGAACGAGCGACGCCGCGUGCGGGAUGAAGGGCUUCGGCUUGUAAACCGCUUUUGUUUGGGAAGAAUGCCCGAAUCGUGAAUUCGGGAGGGACGGUACCAGACGAAUAAGCCCCGGCUAACUCCGUGCCAGCAGCCGCGGUAAGACGGAGGGGGCAAGCGUUGUUCGGAAUUAUUGGGCGUAAAGGGCGCGUAGGCGGAUUGGCAAGUCUGACGUGAAAUCUCCACCACUCAACGGGGAGAGGUCGUUGGAUACUACCGAUCUGGAGUUUGGUAGAGGGUCGUGGAAUUCCAGGUGUAGCGGUGGAAUGCGUAGAUAUCUGGAAGAACACCGGUGGCGAAGGCGGCGACCUGGGCCAAAACUGACGCUGAGGCGCGAAAGCUAGGGGAGCAAACGGGAUUAGAUACCCUAGUAGUC
rnacentral:rRNA from 1 species